AACCAAAAAGAACACACCUGAAAUACUGACUUUUCAGACCUGGUGGCAGUGAAGGGGAAUUGGAUUGGUCGUUCUCAGAACAAGGAGCCGGAAUUGACGCACAGAGCAGUAGUGUCCUUGUUGGAGUGGCUGUGGCAUGAAUUCCUUGAAGAUCUCUGGAGAAAACAGAAAGAAACUGAAACGCAUAGGAAAAACAUGCCCUGAUUAAUCUGGUCUGCUGGUCCAAGGAAGAUGAGAGAAACAUGGAGUUGAACUUUCCCUGAUGAUUCACAAACCUUCACUGAGAAACAAAGCCACCCAGAUGCUGUCAGCCCAGAUCAGCUGAACCCCAGCUAACACGCAGAUAUGUGAGUCAUAAUAAAUGAUUGUUAUUUUAAGCCA
rnacentral:lncRNA from 1 species